AAAGCACUCUGAAAAGAGAGUUCACAAGUGCGUGAAACUGCACACUGCAAAGCGAAUGGCUGGACAUUAUAAAGUGCAACCUGCCAUGCAUCAUAUACAGGGUUUGCGGCGACUAGACACGUCUGAAUGAAUCGCUUGUGAGGUACCCUGUAAAAAGAUGUGCAACUGGUUGUGUCUUCGGCUGCCCGCUGGGUUGGCCAGAUUGAUGAUCGCUUCCGAACAAGAGCUUUGCGCUAGCAGCUCUAAGUACUAGUGGCGUACAAAUUGGCAUAUUGCGCACUGCGGUGCACGAUGAUUGUUUAUCUGGCCGGCCUUGUCAUUAGACGACUUUGGUCUGUGUGUCGGCAUUCUAAUUAUGGCAGUACUCUUGUAAGUGUUGCCAGACAUGUGCAUGCGCUGACGUGACUGAAGUAACCGAGAAAGGCAGCCAAAUGCUUGUACAGCAUUCGAACCGUCUUGAAACACGGACUAAGGAGUUCAACUUAAACGCAAGUCGUUUUUCGCUGAGAAUAUUGAAGGCAAAGUGAAAUCGACUCUAUAUAAAAAAGAGAUGUUAACUGAUGGGUAUGACGAGUACUGUUUUGAUGAUAAGCACGCGUGAUGAGUAGCACAAUUGAUAGCGUUGCUGACUGCGCCUGAGCGUUCAGGUUGAGACCCGAAAGAUGGUGAACUAUGCCUGAGUAGAACGAAGCCAGGAGAAAUUCUGGUGGAAGUUCGUAGCGGUUUUGACGUGCAAAUCAAUCGCCAAACUUGGGUAUAGGGGCGAAAGACUAAUCG
rnacentral:rRNA from 1 species